CAGUCUCUGCCAGGAGGGUGCUACGUUCUCUCUGCUCCAACCUGUGGGCCAUUGCGCAGCACAGCUAUGUUUUCAGCACAUACCUUGGCAAGACUUCUCAUCUGUUAAUAAUUUAAAUCCUUUCUUGCAGCCGCAGUCAAAACUGCCCACGAUGUUUUUGCAGAAAUGAUCACAACCUCCAUUGCGGGUCUGGCACUCAUCAAUAUCUGCAACAGGAAAGCAUUGGGCAUAUCAGAGAGCAAUACUUGCCUCAUUUCCCACAACUCCCUGAAGGGCCAUUGUGUGUGUUCAUUAGUCUCUGAAAUUAAGAAAAAGACUCACAAAAGCAUUUAAGAAUGUUUGCUGAUGUUUUUAACCUUAUACAUGUUUUCUUAUCUGGCUUAACCAGUUUUGAAAGACAAGUGUUUCAUCGUCUUGAGAACGCUGACUUAUGAUGCCCUUGAUUGGCAUUAAGGAAACAAACUCUGGGAAAGAAUGAUGACGUCCUGUUAUAUUCUCAUCUUUGUAUUGCUCUCUCAAGAAAUAUGGGGGAGGAGGAGCCAGAAGAAGAAACAGCUCGAAGAAUUGACUAUUGUUGCCUCUGGCAAAUGGGAUGAGGAAAUGGGAAGUUAUGAGACAAGGAAAUGAUGAGUUUCAUUACAAGCCUAGAAGUAAUUAAGCGUUUAUGUUACUCAUUUGUACUAUUUUCACUUAAGACAAUGAAAAUUUAUAAUUUCUAAAGAGCAGAAAAGAGCUCGGAAAGGUUACCUGCUUGGUAACCAAUGGCUGUAUGAUAUGUUGCCUGACUGUUAAAUCCAGAAACUGUCAAAAGAUGGGUUUUGUUUAGGUUGAGCCAGACUUUCUCCAGAAGGAGUAACGCACCAAAGGAUCUGUCUGACUCCCACCCCCAUGACCACCUCUAUUUCUGCUCAUCUCCAGCUUGACCGCUGGACCUUCAGGCAGGUCUUCCCUUGUCCCACAGCCAAGUGUUGCCCCUCUCCAUUCAUCUCUUCUACUAUUAUCAUCAGCUGAGUCAGAAAUAGAAGACUCAGUGGACACAAAAAAAGACUAGCUGCCAUUCUGAGCUAGAGGCUGCUUCAGAGGAAGACAGCUGACUUCACUGACCACCCACUCAGUCCCAGGCACUGGACUCUGGGCACCUUUCCAUAUUAUUAUCUUAAUUGAGCAUCCCAACUGAUAUGGCCAGGCUUUAUGUCCCCACUCAAAUCUCAUCCUGAAUUAUAAUCCCCAUAAUCCCCUCGUGUCAAGGGAGAGACCAGGUGGAGGUGAUUGGAUUAUGGGGGCGGUUCCCAUGCUGUUCUCAUGAUAGAGUGAGAUCAUGAGAUCUCAUGGUUUUACAAGUGUUUGGUAGUUCCUCCUGCAUUUAUUCUCCUUCCUGCCACCUUGUGAAGAAGGUACCUUGCUUCCCCUUUGCCUUCCACCAUGAUUAUAAGUUUCCUGAGGCCUCCCCAGCCAUGUGGAACUGUGAGUCAAUUAAGCCUCUUUCUUUAUCAAUUACCCAGUCUCAGGCAGUUCUUUACAGCAGUAUGAAAAUGGGCGAAUACCCUGGCCCUAAGAGGUAGACUUUAUUACAUCCAUUUCAAAGAAAGACCAAGAGACAGAGCCUCAGGGCAGUUUGCCAAGUCUUACAGCUAGGUGGGGGCUGCAUUGGGACGUUAACCUGAUUAUUCUGAUGGACACGAGACCAAGGGUCUUGCUUGGUUGGUGAUUAAGCAACAGCACUGGUGAAGAACAGACACACACCCUGGUUCACAGGAGCUGCUCACCCCAGUCCAGCUGGUCUGAGGGCAUGUGGCUCCCAAGUUCAGGUCUGAUGCAAUAAGUUGGGGAGGGAAAAGGACAAUUGCAGUGGCCAAGGAAAGGGAGUGAAGGUGCCUACCCAUGAGCAGCCGCCGUUUCACCCGUUUAUCCCCAUCCACCACUGAUGUGGUGUUGCUCUCUGUCACCUCCAGGACAGUGUCCUCUCGCUCUACAAGAGAAGCAAAAGAGCACGGUUCUCAGACUGAAUGAGUUAGAUUGCUCAUCCCCAUACAACUGUGUUUGCUGAAAUCCCAGACAUAAGAGGAAUGAAAGAUAUGUGACUCUGUUCACGCAAUAAAAAUGUGUUGUAAUGAGGCUCUGUGGGAGACACAGCCCGUUAAAGGGCCACAGAUCCUUAGCAAACAUUAAACAUGGAAAAGAUUUUGGAGGUAUAUUGCACUGACCAAAGAGACACUAGGGAAUGCAAGCUUCAGUCCCCUGAGUCGAGGAGAAAAAGAGCCUUGGGCCUGGAAACCUCUAAAAUGGAGCUAGUGAAGGACACACCGUGAAGGGCAAGGCAGGCAUCCCGCCAGAAAUAUACGGCCCUGGCUCCUGCUGGCCAGAAGUGCCGCAUCAUUAUAAACAGCUCUAACUUCGUGCUGCCCUGGCCUCCUGGGAGGUGUUGUGCCAGUCUCUGGAAUACCAGCGUUAGGAGCAGCCUAGUCCAGGAGAGGAGGAAGGGCUUCCCAAGGUCACACAGGGAGAGAGGGGCCUUCCCCACAGGCCUAGACCACUCCCACUGUAGCAUGCGAAGCAGCACAGGGCCUGCUGGGGGGGCAAAUGCACAGGAAACAGCCUGCAUCUGUGCUAAACACCAUUAAGGGGUAGGGGUAGGGACAGGCAGGCUGGUGCAGACCCUCACUCAGUGUUGGGGUUGCCACUCACCAAGGCAGCUCCUCCCAUCUGUGUGCAUCUUGUACUGUGGAUGGCAGCUGCACUCUGGGCCAUCGGCUGUAUCGUCACAGGAGUGCUGGCACCCACCGUUCCCAUGGUUACAGGUCACUGACAGCAAAAUGAAUCAAUACAUAAAGCACUGAGAUUUCCACAAACACAGGGCUGUGUUUGCUCCAGAGAAAUUCUGAUUUUCAUUCUGCAAGUAUUUGAGCACCUAGUGCAUGCCAGGCAUGGUGCACGAAAGACAUAACUCCAAGUCAGACCCUGUGGUGUCUGUGUAUGCAGAUAGUUACAAUACAAAUUGUAGAAAUGCUGAAACAUGGGUUUAAACAAAGUCAUACAGGAAGAGGGAGAUGGGAGAGUUGGGGGAGAGACUUUUAUUAUAUAAGGGAGAUUAUACCAAGAGAUUCUAGACUACUGCUUUGUUCUAUCUAGAGAAGUU
rnacentral:lncRNA from 1 species